rnacentral:rRNA from 1 species
UACGUAGGGGGCAAGCGUUGUCCGGAUUUAUUGGGCGUAAAGAGCGUGUAGGCGGCCAGGGAGGUCCGUUGUGAAAACUCGAGGCUCAACCUCGAGACGUCGGCGGAAACCAUCUGGCUAGAGUCCGGAAGAGGAGAGUGGAAUUCCUGGUGUAGCGGUGAAAUGCGCAGAUAUCAGGAAGAACACCCGUGGCGAAGGCGGCUCUCUGGGACGGUACUGACGCUGAGACGCGAAAGCGUGGGGAGCGAACAGG